GGAGAAAUACUCAAGUGGCUGAAGAGGCUCCCCUGCUAAGGGAGUAGGUCCUAUUAACGGGGCGCGAGGGUUCAAAUCCCUCUUUCUCCGCCA
rnacentral:tRNA from 1 species